GGGAGGUGCUUCAGAAUGCUGGGCACAGGCCAGAUGGAGUCAUUGGUCCCAAAGAGAAGAUUUGGGAGCUUCUGGACAGAAGGCCCUGGUAGAAUUCAUUCUGGUCAUCCUCCUGCCUCACGAAGCCCCAUCACUCAUCCUUCCCCAAUAUAUUAGGAAGGCCUGGCAUCUUGAACUGAGAUGUGGGACUGGGGUUAGGGAGUAGGAAAGAGGACUGUUGCUGGUGCUAGGCCUCACUGGGGAAUUUAGUUGUCCCCUAUGGAGGCCUUAAUUUCCCUGCCCCAAGGGCAGAGGGCCAGUGAAAAUGUUUCAACUGAGCAAGGGAGUAUUCUGAAUACUGUACAAAUAGUGUGUGGAGUACACAAACAUAUGAAUGGUUUCAGAACUUCCACUGCUGACCUCCCCCUGUUUCAUAGAAAACCCAAGAGGUUUUUCUAGAGAGGUGGAGGGGUAGGUAAAUGUGACAUUAAUGGAUCUCCUGAACCAUGGAGAGAAAAAGUGGCCUCUAGGUAAAACCAGGCCAGAAACCAGCCAUCUGCUGUUGACAGACAUGGAAUGCUACUUCACGCUCACACUCUUGAAAGAUGCUGGGAAUCUUACUGGGAACAAGACAGAUAGGCCCUGGCCCAGAGGGCCCAUAGUCUAGUAGAGAAAACAGAUAUUAACUACUAACGCAUGGAAUUAAUUAUGAUGGCCAUAGAAAUGUUAAGGAGGAACAUGAAGCCCAUGAGAAUGUACAGUCACAGACCUAGACUGGAGGGUCUUAAAAGUCACCUUGUCCAGCCCAGUACAUUUACAGAUAUGGGAAGGUGAGGAAGUUGACAGGGAUUGCCUAGUCAGUUCUCAAGAUGGGUCUAGAAACCACUUCUGACACCCUGUUCUGUUUUGAUUGGGCCGGGGAAUUGGUUUACAUUUGUGAUCAGGGCCAGCUUUAUCAACAUUGACUUUCGGUGGAUAGGAGAAGGGAGGGUAACUGUUCACAGCCUGAUGGGAGCUUCUUUCUACAAGUCCUGCAUCUUGUAGGUUGGAGCUAUUCUAAGUAUAAAGGGCGAGUCCAUUUUGAUGCCGUUUGUCCCUAGGUGGCCAGCAGAGAUACUAGAUGUGCUUGAGGCACAGCUAAGGAACUUAUGGGCUCUCAGUUGCAGCACUGCCUGCCCAGCUUUCCCUCACUCUGUUCUCUGAGUGGUCUAGGUUCCCACAGCCUCUCACUGGCCGGAUCUUCUUACUUUUCUCUGUUUGACCCCAGCCUUCACACUGCCUUCAGCCUGCCCUGGCCUCUGUAAUUACUGUCUGCUGAUAGGUAGUUUACUUGACCUUUCUGAGCAUCAUGUGUAAAUGAAUGUGGAGAAUAUCUCACAGGGUUUUAGGUCAGAGCCAUUAAAACAGUUAUGGCACCUAGCACAGUGCCUGGCACAUAUUCCCAGAUUAAUGUCCUUGAAGUACAUUAGGUAGUGAAAUUCAUGAUGUCUCCUUAUUACAUACGAAUAAAGAAGUAACCUUGUUAGAAUUCAAUUCAUCCAAGAUUUUGUUGACUGUUUUAUGCUAGUUCCUGUGCUGGGCACUGUGGUUCCAUAAUGGAUGAACCAUGAUCCCUGACUUUGGGGAGUUAAGAAUUUAGUAGAACAGACAUAUUUACAACCAAAUAUAAUGCAGUGUGAUAAGUGGCCCGCUAGGAACAAACACAAGGAGCCAUGGGAACACCGAGAGUGAAGAGCUAAGUCCCUUGCAUGCCAUUUGAGGCUGUCCUGCCCUCCCAGGCCUACCCCUCACUCUGUCCUUAGGCUAGUGCUCACAUUCCCCCAAAUACACGCUGCAGGACUUGAUUUUGACCUCCUCCGCUCCCUGUAGCCUGAGGCCAUCGCUCACUGUUCCUUUUGCUUGGAAUCCUCUUCCUCAUCUUUUCACUGCCCAAUUCUUACUAACUACUCUGGAGGCCCAUGUGCUUACCCCUAAUUCCACAGUCUCCCCUUCACUCCCACUUCCCAUGUUUUUAUUGGUGCAUUAUAGUUGUACACAAUGGUGGGAUUCCUUGUUACAUAAUCAUACAUGCACACAAUAGAACAAUAUAAUUUGGUCAAUAUCGUUCCCCAGUAUUUUUCCCCUCCCUCCCCUCCUUUUUCCCUGAUGCCUUUUCUCUACUUUAUUGAUCUCCCUUCAGUUUUCAUGAGACAUCCCCCAGCCACCUCUCUGUUCCUGUUUCCUCUCUAGUUCCCACAUGUUUGAGAAAGCAUAUGACUGUUGACUUUCUGAUUUUUGCUAUCUUAUUUAACAUAAUGGUCUGAAGUUCCAUCCAUUUUCCUGCAAAUGACACAAUUUCAUUCUUCCUUAUGACUGAAUAAAACUCUAAAAAAUAUAUAUCACAUUUUCUUUAUUCACUCAUCCUUUGAUGGACACCUAGACUGGGUUCCGUAGUUGGGCUAUUGUGAAUUGUACUGCUAUAAACAUGGGUAUUCAUGUAUCACUGUAGUAUGCUGACUUUAAUUCUUUAGGAUAAAUACCAAGGUAUAGCUGGGUCAUAUUGUGGUUCCAUUUCUAUUCUUAACUCCAUAGUCUUAAUCCAUCACCCAAACCAUUGUUCUUUACCAUUUGUUCCAAUUUUUCGAAAC
rnacentral:lncRNA from 1 species